rnacentral:rRNA from 1 species
AAAUGAAUUGACGGGGGCCCGCACAAGCGGUGGAGCAUGUGGUUUAAUUCGAUGCAACGCGAAGAACCUUACCAAGUCUUGACAUCCUGCGAAUUUUCUAGAGAUAGAUUAGUGCCUUCGGGAGCGCAGUGACAGGUGCUGCAUGGCUGUCGUCAGCUCGUGUUGUGAAAUGUUGGGUUAAGUCCCGUAACGAGCGCAACCCUUGUCCUUAGUUGCUAGCAGGUUAUGCUGAGAACUCUAAGGAGACUGCCGGUGACAAACCGGAGGAAGGUGGGGACGACGUCAAGUCAUCAUGGCCCUUACGACUUGGGCUACACACGUGCUACAAUGGCCGGUACAAAGGGUUGCCAAGCCGCGAGGUGGAGCUAAUCUCAUAAAACUGGUCGUAGUCCGGAUUGGAGUCUGUAACUCGACUCCAUGAAGUCGGAAUCGCUAGUAAUCGUGAAUCAGAAUGUCACGGUGAAUACGUUCCCGGGCCUUGUACACACCGCCCGUCACACCAUGGGAGUGGGUUGCUCCAGAAGUGGCUAGUCUAACCUUCGGGGGGACGGCCACCACGGAGUGAUUCAUGACUGGGGUG